UGGGUGGGGGAUAACAUCGGGAAACUGGUGCUAAUACCGCAUGAUACCUGAGGGUCAAAGGCGCAAGUCGCCUGUGGAGGAGCCUGCGUUCGAUUAGCUUGUUGGUGGGGUAAAGGCCUACCAAGGCGAUGAUCGAUAGCUGGUCUGAGAGGAUGAUCAGCCACACUGGGACUGAGACACGGCCCAGACUCCUACGGGAGGCAGCAGUGGGGAAUAUUGGACAAUGGGCGAAAGCCUGAUCCAGCAAUGCCGCGUGUGUGAAGAAGGUCUUCGGAUUGUAAAGCACUUUCGACGGGGACGAUGAUGACGGUACCCGUAGAAGAAGCCCCGGCUAACUUCGUGCCAGCAGCCGCGGUAAUACGAAGGGGGCUAGCGUUGCUCGGAAUGACUGGGCGUAAAGGGCGCGUAGGCGGUUUACACAGUCAGAUGUGAAAUUCCAGGGCUUAACCUUGGGGCUGCAUUUGAUACGUGUAGACUAGAGUGUGAGAG
rnacentral:rRNA from 1 species